GACGAACGCUGGCGGCGUGCUUAACACAUGCAAGUCGAACGGAAAGGCCCUGCUUUUGUGGGGUGCUCGAGUGGCGAACGGGUGAGUAACACGUGAGUAACCUGCCCUUGACUUUGGGAUAACUUCAGGAAACUGGGGCUAAUACCGGAUAGGAGCUCCUGCUGCAUGGUGGGGGUUGGAAAGUUUCGGCGGUUGUGGAUGUACUCGCGGCUUAUCAGCUUGUUGGUGUGGUAGUGGCUUACCAAGGCUUUGACGGGUAGCCGGCCUGAGAGGGUGACCGGCCACAUUGGGACUGAGAUACGGCCCAGAAUCCUACGGGAGGCAGCAGUGGGGAAUAUGGCACAAUGGGCCGAAGCCUGAUGCAGCAACGCCGCGUGCGGGAUGACGGCCUUCGGGUUGUAAACCGCUUUCGCCUGUGACGAAGCGUGAGUGACGGUAAUGGGUAAAGAAGCACCGGCUAACUACGUG
rnacentral:rRNA from 1 species